rnacentral:rRNA from 1 species
CCUACGGGUGGCAGCAGUGGGGAAUAUUUGACAAUGGGCGCAAGCCUGACCCAGCAACGCCGCGUGAAGGAAUAAGGCUCUCCGGUUGUAAACUUCUUUUGACCGGGAAGAGAAGAAGACGGUACCUGUCGAAUAAGCCACGGCUAACUACGUGCCAGCAGCAGGGGUAAUACGUAGGUGGCAAGCUGUGUCCGGAUUUACUGGGUGGAAAGGGCGUGUAGCCGGGCUGACAAGUCAGAUGUGAAAUCCGGGGGCUCAACCCCCGAACGGCAUUUGAAACUGUGGGUCUUGAGUAGCGGAGAGGAAGGAGGAAUUCCUAGUGUAGCGGUGAAAUGCGUAGAUAUUAGGAGGAACACCAGUGGCGAAGGCGGCCUGCUGGACGAAAACUGACGGUGAGGCGCGAAAGCGUGGGGAGCAAACAGGAUUAGAUACCCGAGUAGUC